rnacentral:rRNA from 1 species
GUAGGUGGCAAGCGUUGUCCGGAAUUAUUGGGUGUAAAGCGCGCGCAGGGCGGUCCUUUAAGUCUGAUGUGAAAGCCCACGGCUCAACCGUGGAGGGUCAUUGGAAACUGGGGGACUUGAGUACAGAAGAGGAAAGCGGAAUUCCAAGUGUAGCGGUGAAAUGCGUAGAGAUUUGGAGGAACACCAGUGGCGAAGGCGGCUUUCUGGUCUGUAACUGACGCUGAGGCGCGAAAGCGUGGGGAGCAAACAGGAUUAGAUACCCUGGUAGUCCACGCCGUAAACGAUGAGUGCUAAGUGUUAGGGGGUUUCCGCCCCUUAGUGCUGCAGCUAACGCAUUAAGCACUCCGCCUGGGGAGUACGGCCGCAAGGCUG